rnacentral:rRNA from 1 species
UGGGGAAUCUUAGACAAUGGGGGAAACCCUGAUCUAGCCAUGCCGCGUGAGUGAUGAAGGCCUUAGGGUUGUAAAGCUCUUUCAGUGGGGAAGAUAAUGACGGUACCCACAGAAGAAGCCCCGGCUAACUUCGUGCCAGCAGCCGCGGUAAUACGAAGGGGGCUAGCGUUGUUCGGAUUUACUGGGCGUAAAGCGCACGUAGGCGGACUUUUAAGUCAGGGGUGAAAUCCCGGGGCUCAACCCUGGAACUGCCUUUAAUACUGCCGGUCUUGAGUUCGAGAGAGGUGAGUGGAAUUCCGAGUGUAGAGGUGAAAUUCGUAGAUAUUCGGAGGAACACCAGUGGCGAAGGCGGCUCACUGGCUCGAUACUGACGCUGAGGUGCGAAAGCGUGGGGAGCAAACAGGAUUAGAUACCC